rnacentral:rRNA from 1 species
GGAGGGUGAGAGCCCCGUAUGGCGCACGCCGACUCUUUGCACCGCGGCUCCGACGAGUCGAGUUGUUUGGGAAUGCAGCUCUAAGUGGGUGGUAAAUUCCAUCUAAAGCUAAAUAUUGGCGAGAGACCGAUAGCGAACAAGUACAGUGAUGGAAAGAUGAAAAGCACUUUGAAAAGAGAGUGAAACAGCACGUGAAAUUGUUGAAAGGGAAGGGCUUGCAAGCAGACACGGUUUUACCGGGCCAGCGUCAAAUAAACGGGGGGGAAAAGGGGGAAAGAAUGUGGCGCGUGCCUUCGGGUUCGCGUGUUAUAGCUUUCUCUAAUACCCCCAUGUUUGUUUGAGGCCUGCGAUUCUAGGACGCUGGCGUAAUGGUUGCAAGCCGCCCGUCUUGAAACACGGACCAAGGAGUCUAACGUCUAUGCGAGUGUUUGGGUGCAAAACCCCAGCGCGGAAUGAAAGUAAGAGGUUGGAGCCCCAAGGCGCACAAUCGACCGACCCUGAAGUGCUCGGACGGGUUUGAGUAGGAGCAUAGCUGUUGGGACCCGAAAGAUGGUGAACUAUGCCUGGAUAGGGUGAAGCCAGAGGAAACUCUGGUGGAGGCUCGCAGCGGUUCUGACGUGCAAAUCGAUCGUCGAAUCUGGGUAUAGGGCGAAAGACUAAUCG